rnacentral:rRNA from 1 species
ACGUAGAGUGUAAAGGCAAAAGAGAGCUUGAUUGCAAGACAUACAGGUCGAGCAAGGAUGAAAAUCGGACUUAGGGAUCCGGUGGUUCUGCGUGGAAGGGCCAUCGCUCAACGGAUAAAAGCUACCCUGGGGAUAACAGGCUUAUCUCCCCCACGAGUCCACAUCGACGGGGAGGUUUGGCACCUCGAUGUCGGCUCAUCACAUCCUGGGGCUGUAGUAGGUCCCAAGGGUUGGGCUGUUCGCCCAUUAAAGUGGUACGCGAGCUGGGUUCAGAACGUCGUGA